GUUGGGAUAGCUCAGAUGGAUAGAGCGGUUGCCUCCUAAGCGACAGGCCGCGAGUUCGAAUCUCGCUCCUAACA
rnacentral:tRNA from 1 species